rnacentral:ncRNA from 1 species
GAUGAUCAGCAGGAAUGCGAGUGAUGGAUGCCUAGGCGCACACGACCGAUGAAGGACGGGGACUCCCGCCGAAACGGGUAGGCGAGCCGGAGUCAGGCUGCGACCCUACCAUCUCCGAAUGGGGCAACCCCACCACCGUGAUGGGUGGUGAUCCUAAUCUGAAUCUAUAGGGUUAGGAAGGGCACCGGGGGAACUGGAAACAUCUCACGUACCCCGAGGAACAGAAACAAUUCUCGUAGUAGCGGCGAGCGAACCGGGAAGAGCCUAAACGGCGCACGUGUCAAGCAGGACAGCGUUGCGUGCGCCGGGUUGCGAGACCUCCAAGGUCGGAUGUCCUUCCGACCAGCAAGUGACAAAUGGACGACUUAGGGGAAUGGUCCUGGAACGGCC